CAAGCCGGUGGGCGGUGCCGCGAGGCGGUGCACGAAGACGUCAACGCGCUCGCUGUGCGUCUGCACGCAGGCCCCGCCUCCUGAGGACGGAUGUACCUUUUGCCUUCUGCUGUGAUUGAGAGGCCUCCCAGCCACAUUGAACUGUACAUUUAUUUUAAUCACCAUGCAGUCAAGAGUGUUGAAGAAAUGCUCCAAAACAAAAUCACAUUGGAGCUACCAGCUUCUCUAGCUUAGUAGAGUGGCUAUAUAAAAUUUACAACUCAGAAUGAAAUAAUAAGCCAAUCUGCUGCAAAUUGGGUAUGCCAC
rnacentral:lncRNA from 1 species